UAUUCUUAGUUGCCAGCAUGUAAUGAUGGGACUCUAAGGAGACUGCCCGCGCAAGCAGAGAGGAAGGAGGGGAUGACGUCAAAUCAUCAUGGCCCUUACGCCCAGGGCUACACACGUGCUACAAUGGCGCAUACAGAGGGUCGCGACACGGUAACGUGAAGCCAUCUCAAAAAGUGCGUCUCAGUUCGGAUUGAGGUCUGCAACUCGACCUCAUGAAGCUGGAAUCGCUAGUAAUCGCGCAUCAGCAAUGGCGCGGUGAAUACGUUC
rnacentral:rRNA from 1 species